rnacentral:rRNA from 1 species
CCUACGGAGCGCAGCAGUAGGGAAUAUUGCUCAAUGGGGGAAACCCUGAAGCAGCAACGCCGCGUGGAGGAGGAAGGUCUUCGGAUGGUAAACUCCUUUUGUUAGAGAAGAUAAUGACGGUAUCUAACGAAUAAGCACCGGCGAACUCCGUGCCAGCAGCCGCGGUAAUACGGAGGGUGAAAGCGUUACUUGGAAUCAAUGGGCGGAAAGUGAACGUAGGCGGGAUAGCAAGUCAGAUGUGAAAUCCUAUGGCUUAACCAUAGGACUGCAUUUGAAACUGUUAUUCUAGAGUAUGGGAGAGGUAGGUGGAAUUCUUGGUGUAGGGGUAAAAUCCGUAGAGAUCAAGAGGAAUACUCAUUGCGAAGGCGACCUGCUAGAACAUAACUGACGCUGAUGCGCGAAAGCGUGGGGAGCAAACAGGAUUAGAUACCCCAGUAGUC